rnacentral:rRNA from 1 species
AGGACGAACGCUGGCGGCGUGCUUAACACAUGCAAGUCGAGCGGAAAGGCCCUUCGGGGUACUCGAGCGGCGAACGGGUGAGUAACACGUGAGCAACCUGCCCUUAGCUUCGGGAUAGGCUCCGGGAAACCGGAAUUAAUACCGAAUAUGACUGCGGCUGACAUCAGCCACGGUGGAAAGUUUUUCGGCUAGGGAUGGACUCGCGGCCUAUCAGCUAGUUGGUGAGGUAACGGCCCACCAAGGCGACGACGGGUA